GACUGGCCUCGACACACACAGGCCCCUUGGCUCCACCAAGGCCCCAGACCGUACAACAGCUGCACUCCAGUCCUGCCGGUGACGACCACACAAACACAUGCACACACGCACAAAGCCAACCAACACCAAAAUCCGUCUGGGCAGGCGAGGGACGGCAGUAUAUGUGUGUGUGGGCAGUAUGUGUGUGUGUACGUUCCUAUGUCAGUGCAUGUUCCAACUGUGUGCACCUGUUCCUACUCCGUAAUCGACCAGGGUUGAAUAUCACAUUCUAAGAGGGCAACUUGUUAUCAACAUUUACGAUUGGCUGAUGCACUUCCUGCCGUAGUUGGCCAGCAAGAAAUCUCUGAUUUAUACUUGGGACCAGCCGUGCCAAAGAACAGUGAGGGUGUUCAGUGUUAGGAAGGUUUGAGCCAGCUGAGAAAGCAGUUUCCUGCCUUGACAGCUGUGUCGGUUUGUGUCCCACUGAAACCGCUACACCAUAACGUGUUCCAGGCAGCCAUUUGGAGUCCAGCGCUAACCGUGCUAGUAAUUACACCCUGAGAGGCUGUAGGCUAUAUUGAGAGUGUGGAGUAAUGAUGCUAGCGGGUGUGUACUGAGCAGUGGUGGUGCUUUUUUUGCAAUUAAUACAAGCAGGACAGUCUGGCUGUAAAAUUGUAUUAUUUUUGUAUUGGAUUCAGUGUUUUUAUUCAAAUCAAAGUUUGAGGGGAAAGUGAAAGAUGUGCACUAUAGUGUAAAGUGGUGGCAAAUAUAAAAGUGGCCUAUGGGACGAAAAUGACGACUUCAAUUUGAUUACCUGUCAAACAAUUACACAGCAAAUCACUAUUAAAAUGUGGUUUACACUUGGUCUAAUGACAUGUCUGUAAACAAUUAGAAUGCAACAAGUGUAGCUGGUCAAAACGAGAUUUAAUGUAUACUCAUGUGGAAUGUCUGUGGACCAUCACUGUGACAGUCGGUUCCCUUGUUGCACAGACAUGAAAACAGGUCAUGUCUCUGUGACAGUCGGUUCCCUUGUUACACAGACAUGAAAACAGGUCAUGUCUCUGUGACAGUCGGUUCCCUUGUUACACAGACAUGAAAACAGGUCAUGUCUCUGUGACAGUCGGUUCCCUUGUUACACAGACAUGAAAACAGGUCAUGUCUCUGUGACAGUCGGUUCCCUUGUUGCACAGACAUGAAAACAGGUCAUGUCUCUGUGACAGUCGGUUCCCUUGUUACACAGACAUGAAAACAGGUCAUGUCUCUGUGACAGUCGGUUCCCCUUGUUGCACAGACAUGAAAACAGGUCCAUGUCUCUGUGACAGUCGGUUCCCUUGUUGCACAGACAUGAAAACAGGUCAUGUCUCUGUGACAGUCGGUUCCCUUGUUACACAGACAUGAAAACAGGUCAUGUCUCUGUGACAGUCGGUUCCCUUGUUGCACAGACAUGAAAACAGGUCAUGUCUCUGUGACAGUCGGUUCCCUUGUUACACAGACAUGAAAACAGGUCAUGUCUCUGUGACAGUCGGUUCCCUUGUUGCACAGACAUGAAAACAGGUCAUGUCUCUGUGACUGUCGGUUCCCUUGUUACACAGACAUGAAAACAGGUCAUGUCUCUGUGACUGUCGGUUCCCUUGUUACACAGACAUGAAAACAGGUCAUGUCUCAGACAGUCGGUUCCCUUGUUACACAGACAUGAAAACAGGUCAUGUCUCUGUGACUGUCGGUUCCCUUGUUACACAGACAUGAAAACAGGUCAUGUCUCUGUGACUGUCGGUUCCCUUGUUACACAGACAUGAAAACAGGUCAUGUCUCUGUGACAGUCGGUUCCCUUGUUACACAGACAUGAAAACAGGUCAUGUCUCUGCGACUGUCGGUUCCCUUGUUACAGACAUGAAGACAGGUCAUGUCUCUGUGACUGUCGGUUCCCUUGUUACAGACAUGAAAACAGGUCAUGUCUCUGUGACUGUCGGUUCCCUUGUUACAGACAUGAAAACAGGUCAUGUCUCUGUGACUGUCGGUUCCCUUGUUACACAGACAUGAAAACAGGUCAUGUCUCUGUGACUGUCGGUUCCCUUGUUACACAGACAUGAAAACAGGUCAUGUCUCUGUGACUGUCGGUUCCCUUGUUGCACAGACAUGAAAACAGGUCAUGUCUCUGCGACUGUCGGUUCCCUUGUUACAGACAUGAAAACAGGUCAUGUCUCUGUGACUGUCGGUUCCCUUGUUGCACAGACAUGAAAACAGGUCAUGUCUCUGCGACUGUCGGUUCCCUUGUUGCACAGACAUGAAAACAGGUCAUGUCUCUGUGACAGUCGGUUCCCUUGUUACACAGACAUGAAAACAGGUCAUGUCUCUGUGACAGUCGGUUCCCUUGUUACACAGACAUGAAAACAGGUCAUGUCUCUGUGACAGUCGGUUCCCUUGUUACACAGACAUGAAAACAGGUCAUGUCUCUGUGACAGUCGGUUCCCUUGUUGCACAGACAUGAA